AGAGUUUGAUCAUGGCUCAGGACGAACGCUGGCGGCGUGCUUAACACAUGCAAGUCGAACGGAAAGGCCCUUCGGGGUACUCGAGUGGCGAACGGGUGAGUAACACGUGGGUGAUCUGCCCUGCACUCUGGGAUAAGCCUGGGAAACUGGGUCUAAUACCGGAUAGGACCGCAUGCUUCAUGGUGUGUGGUGCAAAGCUUUUGCGGUGUGGGAUGAGCCCGCGGCCUAUCAGCUUGUUGGUGGGGUAAUGGCCUACCAAGGCGACGACGGGUAGCCGGCCUGAGAGGGUGACCGGCCACACUGGGACUGAGAUACGGCCCAGACUCCUACGGGAGGCAGCAGUGGGGAAUAUUGCACAAUGGGCGCAAGCCUGAUGCAGCGACGCCGCGUGAGGGAUGACGGCCUUCGGGUUGUAAACCUCUUUCAGUAGGGACGAAGCGAAAGUGACGGUACCUACAGAAGAAGGACCGGCCAACUACGUGCCAGCAGCCGCGGUAAUACGUAGGGUCCGAGCGUUGUCCGGAAUUACUGGGCGUAAAGAGCUCGUAGGUGGUUUGUCGCGUUGUUCGUGAAAACUCACAGCUUAACUGUGGGCGUGCGGGCGAUACGGGCAGACUAGAGUACUGCAGGGGAGACUGGAAUUCCUGGUGUAGCGGUGGAAUGCGCAGAUAUCAGGAGGAACACCGGUGGCGAAGGCGGGUCUCUGGGCAGUAACUGACGCUGAGGAGCGAAAGCGUGGGUAGCGAACAGGAUUAGAUACCCUGGUAGUCCAA
rnacentral:rRNA from 1 species